AAACCUGGUCUAAAAGAUGAUCAUAAACCUUCAACAAUGGCAAAAAAUUUUUUCCCUGCUACUAUAACAGAUAAAGCUUGUGUAAAAGACAAACAUGAACUUUCAACAAUGAAAAAAAAAUUUAUGUCAGCUACUAAAACAGAUAAACCUGGUCUAAAAG